rnacentral:rRNA from 1 species
GUCCAGACUCCUACGGGAGGCAGCAGUGGGGAAUAUUGGACAAUGGGGGGAACCCUGAUCCAGCGACGCCGCGUGAGUGAAGGAGUAUUUCGGUAUGUAAAGCCCUAUCAGCAGGGAAGAAAGAAGACGGUACCUGACUAAGAAGCCCCGGCUAACUACGUGCCAGCAGCCGCGGUAAUACGUAGGGGGCGAGCGUUAUCCGGAUUCACUGGGUGUAAAGGGAGCGUAGACGGCCGUGCAAGCCAGGAGUGAAAGCCCGGGGCCCAACCCCGGGACUGCUCUUGGAACUGUGCGGCUGGAGUGCGGGAGGGGCAGGCGGAAUUCCUGGUGUAGCGGUGAAAUGCGUAGAUAUCAGGAGGAACACCGGCGGCGAAGGCGGCCUGCUGGACCGCGACUGACGUUGAGGCUCGAAAGCGUGGGGAGCGAACAGGAUUAGAUACCCCCGUA